rnacentral:rRNA from 1 species
UUAAGCCCCAGUAAACGGCGGCCGUAACUAUAACGGUCCUAAGGUAGCGAAAUUCCUUGUCGGGUAAGUUCCGACCUGCACGAAUGGCGUAACGAUUUGGGCGCUGUCUCGACCAUGGACCCGGUGAAAUUGUAUUAUUCGUGAAGAUGCGAAUUACCUGCGGAAGGACGGAAAGACCCCGUGAACCUUUACUGCAGCUUGGCAUUGGCUGUUGGCACGUCGUGUAGAGGAUAGGUGGGAGACUGUGAAGCAGAAACGCCAGUUUCUGUGGAGUCACCCUUGGAAUACCACCCUCGGCUUGCUGGCAGCCUAACGUGUGAGCGUUAUCCGCCACACGGACCGUGCCAGGUGGGUAGUUUGACUGGGGCGGUCGCCUCCUAAAUGGUAACGGAGGCGUGCGUAAGGUUCGCUCAGGAUGGUUGGCAAUCAUCCGUAGAGCACAAGAGUAUAAGCGAGCUUGACUGCGAGACCUACAAGUCGAGCAGAGACGAAAGUCGGUUCUAGUGAUCCGGCGGCCCAGCGUGGAAUGGCCGUCGCUCAACGGAUAAAAGGUACUCCGGGGAUAACAGGCUGAUCUUGCCCAAGAGUCCACAUCGACGGCAAGGUUUGGCACCUCGAUGUCGGCUCAUCGCAUCCUGGGGCUGUAGCAGGUCCCAAGGGUUGGGCUGUUCGCCCAUUAAAGCGGUACGCGAGCUGGGUUCAGAACGUCGUGAGACAGUUCGGUCCCUAUCCUCCGUGGGCGUAAGAGAAUUGAGAGGAUCUGUCCCUAGUACGAGAGGACCGGGAUGGACGGACCUCCGGUGUCGCAGUUGUUGACCAACAGCAUGGCUGCCUAGCCGCGUCCGGAUGUGAUAACCGCUGAAAGCAUCUAAGUGGGAAGCCGACCUCAAGAUGAGUUCUCUUUUUGGUAAGGCCACUUCUAGACUAGGAGUUUGAUAGGCCGCAGCUGUAAGGCGAGCAAUCGUUUCAGGCGAGCGGUACUAAUCGGCCGAGCUCUUCAUCUA